GACGAACGCUGGCGGCGUGCCUAAUACAUGCAAGUAGAACGCUGAAGGAGGAGCUUGCUUCUCUGGAUGAGUUGCGAACGGGUGAGUAACGCGUAGGUAACCUGCCUGGUAGCGGGGGAUAACUAUUGGAAACGAUAGCUAAUACCGCAUAAGAGUAGAUGUUGCAUGACAUUUGCUUAAAAGGUGCAAUUGCAUCACUACCAGAUGGACCUGCGUUGUAUUAGCUAGUUGGUGGGGUAACGGCUUACCAAGGCGACGAUACAUAGCCGACCUGAGAGGGGGGGCGGCCCCACUGGGACGGAGACACGGCCCAGACUCCUACGGGAGGCAGCAGUAGGGAAUCGUCGGCAAUGGACGGAAGUCUGACCGAGCAACGCCGCGUGAGUGAAGAAGGUUUUCGGAUCGUAAAGCUCUGUUGUAAGAGAAGAACGAGUGUGAGAGUGGAAAGUUCACACUGUGACGGUAUCUUACCAGAAAGGGACGGCUAACUACGUG
rnacentral:rRNA from 1 species